rnacentral:rRNA from 1 species
UACGUAGGGGGCAAGCGUUGUCCGGAAUCAUUGGGCGUAAAGCGCGUGUAGGCGGUCCGGUAAGUCGGCUGUGAAAGUCCAGGGCUCAACCCUGGGAUGCCGGUCGAUACUGCCGGACUAGAGUUCGGAAGAGGCGAGUGGAAUUCCCGGUGUAGCGGUGAAAUGCGCAGAUAUCGGGAGGAACACCAAUGGCGAAGGUAGCUCGCUGGGACGUUACUGACGCUAAGGCGCGAAAGCGUGGGGAGCGAACAGG